UAUAGACAACACACCUACCGAUGCAUGUAUGAAGUAAACAUAUCUCAUAAAGUGCAACAAAAACAUUUUAACUUGCGUAGGUAUUACGCAUAAUAAAGUACCUACCUGUACACAGUGCGUAUCAUUUUGUUUAUUUAUUUCGUAGAUUCGGCGUUUCGGAGGGCCAUCGUUUGUUGGAAAGUAUUUCGUGGGAAAUGGGUUUUUCGGAAACGUAUUUUGUCGGAAAAAUAAUUCGUCGGAACAGUUGUGUCUUGUCAGAAAAGUAUUUUUUUUAGAACCGUAUUUUGUUGGAAAAAAACAAUUCCGACCAAAUACGGUCCCUACAAAAUAUUUUACGCCUCCCC